rnacentral:rRNA from 1 species
GACGAACGCUGGCGGCGUGCCUAAUACAUGCAAGUCGAACGAAGCUGUUUUAACUGGUGCUUGCACCGACUUAAACAACUGAGUGGCGAACGGGUGAGUAACACGUGGGUAACCUGCCCCAAAGCGGGGGAUAACAUUUGGAAACAGAUGCUAAUACCGCAUAACCACAGAAACCACAUGGUUUCUGUGUCAAAGAUGGUUUCGGCUAUCACUUUGGGAUGGACCCGCGGCGUAUUAGCUAGUUGGUAAGGUAAUGGCUUACCAAGGCAAUGAUACGUAGCCUAACUGCGAGGUUGAUCGGCCACAUUGGGACUGAGACACGGCCCAAACUCCUACGGGAGGCAGCAGUAGGGAAUCUUCCACAAUGGACGAAAGUCUGAUGGAGCAACGCCGCGUGAGUGAAGAAGGUUUUCGGAUCGUAAAACUCUGUUGUCAGAGAAGAACGUGUGCGAGAGUAACUGUUCGUGCAGUGACGGUAUCUGGCCAGAAAGCCACGGCUAACUACGUGCCAGCCGCCGCCGUAA